rnacentral:lncRNA from 1 species
GUUCCCAGACUAGGGGUCUAAUCGGAGCUGUAGCCACCGGCCUACACCACAGCUCACAGCAACGCUGGAUCCUUAACCCACUGAGCAAGGCCAGGGAUCGAACCCGCAACCUCAUGGUUCCUAGUUGAAUUCGUUAACCACUGAGCUAUGAUGGGAACUCCUGAACCUGUGUCCUCUUGGAUGCUAGUCGGGUUCACUAACCGCUAAGCCACAACGGGAACUCCAUUUUCCUUUAUUUUCUGAAUGCAGGUGGAAGUCUUGUAUGAAAAUGGAAGCACUUUUAGGGGGGUGAAUGCUUUUAGAGACGUAUUGGUGCAAAAUACUUUUUUCCAAAAAACAUUAAAAACCUAUUCAUUUGCGGUGUUUCCCUUCCAUGCCAGGAAUUGUACUAGACACACAGACUGUUAACAAUAUGAAUGGUAGCAAGUCCUUAUUUGGCACUUUGGUGCUUUUCGUAAGCCAGGCUCUCUUUUCAGCACGUUGUAUGACUGACCUGCUUAAUCCUCAUCAGAGCUUUGUGACUGGGUAUAUUUCACCGUAUAGAUGAGGAGACAGAGGCAUGGAAAUUAAGGUCCCUGCUUCAAGGUCUCACAGCCAUGACAUGGUAGAGCAGGAUUCUGCUCUGAGGCCAUCCUUAGUGACCUCUCUGUCUGGGGAGUCUGAAAAGAGGGCACAUAGGCAAAGAGAUAAGUAUGGUCAAGUGGGAUAAGAGAGGCGGCUGGGGCAGUGAACUUCAAGAGUGUGCAUAGACAUGGGACCCAGUCCCACGGGGAGAAUGAGAAGCAAUAGUGCUUGCUUUGACCUUUGAAGAAGGAGGGAGGGAGUCAGGAAAGGCAGGGGAAACAGAGCUGCACAGGGGAAAGGGCACAUGCAAAGCCAUACACACGAGCGAGGGUUUGGCCCGCUCCCGGAACUGCUAGAUAAUUGUUAAGUGUGGAGACUACACCACAGCCACAGCAACCCCAGAUCUGAGCCACGUCUGUGACCUAUACCACAGUUCUCAGCCACACUGGAUCCUUAACCCACUGAGCGAGUCCAGGGAUAGAACUGGCAUCCUCAUGGAUACUCUUUGGGUUCCUAACCUGCUGAGCCACCACGGGAACUCCCUCAGCAUAUCCUCGAAUUGCUCCGUUGCUACACUGUCUGAGCCCACUUGGUUAACCUGUUCGUCAUCUACUUCCUUUCGUGCCCCACCCAAACAAUGGGUGUCUGAUCAGCAUUGCAUCCCAGAUUUUAAGGAGUGAUACAUUCCAGUCUUUCUUUAAGAGAUGAAGUUUUCUGCUUUGUCAAAGUUUUGUUUUUUGUUUUUUGGUUUUUUUUUGUCUUUUUAGAGUUGCACCUGAGACAUACUGGAGUUCCCAGGCUAGGGAUCAAGUAGCAGCUGUAGCCACUGGCCUACGCCACAGCCACAGCAACGCCAGAUCCAAGCUUCAUCUGUGACCUGUACCACAGCUCAUGGCAAUGCUGGAUCCUUAAUCUACUGAGCAUGGCCAGGGAUCAAACCUGCAUCCUCAUGGAUGCUAGUUGGGUUUGUUAACCAUUGAGCCACUAAGGGAACUCCUAGAGCUUUUGUUUUGUUUUGCUUUUUACUUUCAUAAAAAUUUUUUUUUUCAGUCUUUUCUUAAGGGCUGUGUCCUUCAUAAGCACUUCCAGAAUGCUUCACCCCUGCCCCAGUCUAGUCCUUUGACCUGUUGACGGCUUUUUCCUCCCUUGGGCGGGAUUAGCUGGGAUAAGGCCCAGGUAAACCCCUUUGUCCUUGGUAGUGGGGCAUUGUGCUUCACAAGGGUUAAUCCCCCCGCCCCCUGCCAGACCCACAAGGGGAUCCUUUUGGGCUUUUCACCAUGAUAACCUGCUGGUAUUUCUAGAUGCAACACCUAUGAAAGGGUAGAGGCCCCCAAAACUGUGGAGCCCAGGAAUUUCUCAGUCUUAUGCCUCCAGCAACUGUCAGCAACAUCAUUUCAGUGUCGUGGUUCUAGCAGCUCUGCCUCAGGUAAGCAGGUCCCACUGACACUUUGGACUCCCCUGUAUCCCCAGAUUCCAGCAAGGUGGCUUUCCCUGAAGCAUCAGACAUCUGAUGGGUCUAAAAAGAGUCAUUGGUUUUGAGUUUGUCUGGUUUUUCGUCUUGUAAAAGUGACAACUUCCUGUCUCUUUUCGUGUUGGCACUGAAAGUAGAAAUCCCUCAGGUUUUCCCCUGAAAACACAAACCAGAUCUUGUCCCUGCUCGGAACCCUGAAAUGCUCCUCAUUUCAUAGAGGGUAAAAGCCAAACCCCUUCCCCUGGCCCCAGGCCAGCGCCAGCUGGCUCUCCAUCACCACUCUGCCCCCUUCCUGGUCUCGCCCUUGCUUAAUCCCGCUGUCACUGGAGUUGUCCAUUGCAGGAAGCCUGCUGUCAUUUCACCCUCUGGCUCCAGCUCUUGCUUCAUGCUCCUCCCCAGACAUUGACUGGCUCACUCCAGCAGCAGUUUCAAGGCUCUGGGUUCACCUCAGUCAGACCUCCCUGACCACCGACUUGUAUUGCAACUUGCCUCUGCUCUACCCUCCAUCCAGCUUCCCCAUCUUCCCCCACUGCGCUGGGUCACCUAUUUGCUGUGCCAUUCACCGCCUUCUAACAUAAUUCUAUCCUUGACUUCCUUAGCAUUUUAUUGUCUCUCCCACUAGAUUGCAGGUUCUCUGAGGACCAAGAUAUUUGUGUGUUUACUGACAUGUUCCAGUUUCCAGAACUGGAUCAGGCACACAGCAGGAAAGCAGUAAACCUCUGUGGUGCUCUUUUGCACAGACUCUGGGUCAGUAACUUACCCAGAGUCACUUACUACCAGAGCUAGACUUGAACUUGGUCCCAUUCCCAGUCUGCCCCAACCUGGGAGUAAAACCUGGUUUGCAGAGUUCCUGUUGUGGCUCAGUGGGUUAAGGACCCAGUGUUAUCUCUGAGAAUUUGGGUUUGAUCCCUGGCCUGGCCCAGUGGCUUGAGGAUCCGGUGUUGCCCUGGCUGUGGUGUAGGCCGGCAGCUGCAGCUCUGAUUCGACCCCAAUCCAGAAACUUCCAUAUGCUGCAGGUGCAGCCCUUAAAAAAAAGCUGGUUUGUAGAAGUGGUUUGCACAAAACCACUGCAAGAAUCUAGCACAACUUCCAGGGCUCAGAGACUCAUGUUCACUUGUAGCUGCCACCCAGGAUGGUCAGAAGGAUUUCACAGGCUCUGUGCUGUGUCCAGAAACAAAAAGCACAGCCUGAUGUGUCUGGGUUCCCAAGAAGAUUGGAAACUCCUCAAAUCCUGGGACCAUGGGGUGCUUAUUUAUUUCCUACCUCCUGAAACAUCAAACGAAACGCACGGUCAUGGUGAUGACUCAGUACAUAUACAAUUGACUUCGGUUGAAAGCACAAAGAUGGAAAAACUGGUUUGUCAGACGUGGAAUCUUAGCUUGGAUUUGGCGUUGCAUGACGUCUUAUUACUCUAGAGAGAUGGUGAGUCACAGUGAGGGGCAAGAGAGGACAUGAGGGGAGGGGUGGUUUUAGACUGAGCACACAGGUCACUGAGUUCCCUUCUUGGGCUUUUCAUGGUGUGUGUUUUGAUUUCCUUGGCUUGUAAUAAAUCUUGUUUAGCUGCUGCAUGGCUGCCUGCUGUCCUGUCCACAGUGGGGGACUAAAUACAUGGCCAGCAGAGCUGGCUAUUCAGCUGUAAGCCUUUGCUCUGUGCUCCGGAAUCAGCCCCUUUUGCAAAACUGAGAGGGUAAAACGCAAUCUGCUUCUAGCUGUAGAUCUACCCCAGUUGCGACAAGCUGCUGUCCCCCCGUUGGCCACAUGUGGUCAGGGCUGUGACUCCUCCUUAACUGUGUCUUGUAACUGCUGGGAAGUGCCUUUAGUCAAGAUUUAUAACCUAACCUAUCAACUUUCUUGUCUUCUGCCCACGUCACACCCACAUAUCAAGAGGAUGGGGUUCUUUUAAUUCAAACCAUGCGAGUUUCUGUAAUUCCUCUCCUGGGAAGGGAAGGAAGGCUGAAAUGAAUGUUAUAGCAGCAUCUCUGCAUCUCAGCCUUCAAAGAAGGGUCAGUUUUCCCUCCACCUUUGGGACCUCAAGCCGAGUAGGAAAGAGUUAUGUCUUUUUUUUUUUUUCCCCUUCAUUUUCCCUUUAUUCUCCUGCCAGAGUAUACACUAUUAAAUUCUGGAUUUAGUCAUGUUGUUCAAAGAUCUGCAUAGCCAAGUGUGUCCCUGCUAAUAUGUCAAAGAAGUAUUUAUGGACUGUCAUUUUUAAAAAUGUCUCUAGCUUUUGCUGUAGAAUUGAAGGGCUACAGCGGGUGAAUCAUCAGAGAAGGGGAAGUGGUGUGUGUUUGAGGCAUGCAUAAGCUACGAGCGUGGCUUCAGGAAAUUCAGGAGAGGUGAAAAAUCUAAACUCUCGGAGUUCCCCUCGUGGCUCAGUGGUUAACGAACCCAGCUAGCACCCAUGAGGACUCAGGUUCAAUCUCUGGCCUCUCUCAGUGGGUUAAGGAUCUGGCAUGACCAUGAGCUCUGGUGUAGGUCACAUCUGCGGCUCAGUAAGUUUCCGUAGUAUAGUGGUUAUCAAGUUCACCUCACAUCUGCAACUUGGACCUGGCAUUGCUGUGGCUGUGCUGUAGGCUGGCAGCUACAGCUCUGAUUCAACCUUUAGCCUGGGAACCUCCAUAUGCCAUGGAGGCAGCCCUAAAAAAACAAAAG